UAAACUAGGAUUAGAUACCCUAUUAUUUAAAAUGUAAAUAUAAAUACUAAAUUAGUAAUAGUUAUGAUCUUGAAAAUUAACAAAUUUGGCGGUAUUUUAGUCUUUUCAGAGGAACCUGUUCUGUAAUCGAUAGUCCCCGAUUUAGUUUACUUUAAUUAUUAAUUUACAUAUCGUCGUAGUUUGAAUAUUUUAAAAGAAUUAUAAUAUUCAAGAUUUUAAAUUAAAAUAUAAAUCAGAUCAAGGUGUAGUUUAUAUUAAAGAAGAAAUGGGUUACAAUAAAUUUAUUUUUGGAUAAUUUUUAGUAUAGAAAUUUGAAUUUGGAUUUGAAAGUAAUUUUAAUUAAUUAGUUAAGAUGAUUUUAGCUCUAAAAUAUGUACACAUCGCCCGUCGCUCUUAA
rnacentral:rRNA from 1 species